AUUGAACGCUGGCGGCAGGCCUAACACAUGCAAGUCGAGCGGAGCGGCGGACGGGCGAGUAAUGCCUAUGAAUCUGCCUGGUAGUGGGGGAUAACGUCCGGAAACGGGCGCUAAUUCCGCAUACUCUCAGUUGAUCCUAGGUCGAAUUAGCUAGUUGGUGGGUUAAAGGCUUACAAAGCCGACGAUCCGUAACUGGUCUGAGAGGAUGAUCAGUCACACUGGAACUGGGACACGGUCCAGACUCCUACGGGAGGCAGCAGUGGGGAAUAUUGCACAAUGGGCGAAAGCCGGAUCCAGCCAUGCCGCGUGUGUGAAGAAGGUCUUCGGAUUGUAAAGCACUUUAAGUUGGGAGGCGUUACCAACAGAAUAAGCACCGGCUAACUUCGUGCCAGCAGCCGCGGUAAUUC
rnacentral:rRNA from 1 species